GUGGGGAAUAUUGGGCAAUGGGCGAAAGCCUGACCCAGCAACGCCGCGUGAGGGAAGAAGGCCUUCGGGUUGUAACCUCUGUCCUUGGUGACGAAGAAAGUGACGGUAGCCAAGGAGGAAGCCCCGGCUAACUACGUGCCAGCAGCCGCGGUAAUACGUAGGGGGCGAGCGUUGUCCGGAAUUACUGGGCGUAAAGGGUGCGUAGGUGGCCUUUUAAGUUGGAUGUGAAAUACCCGGGCUUAACUUGGGGGGUGCAUCUAAUACUGGGAGGCUAGAGUGCAGGAGAGGGAAGCGGAAUUCCUAGUGUAGCGGUGAAAUGCGUAGAUAUUAGGAGGAACACCAGUGGCGAAGGCGACACCCUGGACCGAUACUGACACUGAGGUGCGAAAGCGUGGGUAGCGAACAGGAUUAGAAACCCCUGUAGUCC
rnacentral:rRNA from 1 species